GGAAGGAUCAUUAAAAGGAAAGAAAAGGGAGGUUGCGCGAGUGACCGACCGAUACACACUGUGAACUUGUUGAAAGUCUUUCACCAGUUUCAAACUGAUUUGGGUUGCUCACGGAUGUUCAGGCUAGGGUCUUCCUAGCUUAAAACCAAAAUCAAAUACAGCUUUUAACGAAUGGAUAUCUCGGAUCUUGCGACGAUGACGAGCGCAGCGAAUUGCGAUAAGGGAUGCGAAUUGCAGAAACUCGUGAGUCAUCACUUUCUUGAACGCAACUGGCACCAAGGUGACGAGCCUUGGUAUGAAUGGAAGAGAGAGGGUCAUACAACUUGCAAUAUAAUUGCAGAGUCUGAGUGUGCGGUUUAACCACCGCUCACUUGAAAGAGAUUGUUGCGGUAAACUUCCUGCGAGCCUCGCGCUCACUCUAAGCCUACCCACAUCACACAAUCACAACCCAACACCCCCCUCCUCUUUUCAUUCAAGAUUACCGCCGAAUUUAAGCAUAUCAGUCAGCGGUGGAAAAGAAACCAACUGGGAUUCCCUCAGUAAUGGCGAGUGAAGGGGAACAGUCCAUCCUCUAACGGUAGCAAUACCGGUUGUGGGGUACAGGGAAGAAUGUAUGCGAUGUGAAAGAUGAGGUCAAGUCCAUUGGAAUGUGGCGCCAUAGAGGGUGAUAGCCCCGUUAACCUCAACUCUUCAUUUCCCGCUUCUCUUCUCUCCGAGUCGAGCUAUUUGGGAGUAUAGCUCUAAAAUGGGUGGUAAAGUUGACAUCCAAGACUAAAUACAGGGCAAGAUACCGAUAGCAAACAAGUAGCGCGAGCGAAAGAUGAAAAGGACUUUGAAAAGAGAGUCAAAAGGGCUUGAAGUCGUUAAAAGGGAAUGGAAGUGGGGGAGAGAAGUGAGGGAGGGGUGGUCCAAGUGGGAGUGUGAGGGAGGGUAGGGUGAUGAUAGCGGGUUAAUUAUUCGCGUCUAGCUUUGCUUCCUUUACUUCUCAUGGUAUCCCAUCUCUUCCGAGCAGAGUGGAUGAGAGAGGAAGAAAGAGGGUAGGUAGUUGAGGUUAGUCUUGCACUGAUUUAACGCUUAUACCUGCUUCCACUCUCAUCGAGGGGUGUUAUUGCACCAAAGGAGAACAUGUGAGGGGAAAGUCGUGGAGGGCGUUCAGGGUAGGACUGCAUGCAGUGUUACUUUGCCGUUCUUCACCUCCCAACUCUUAAUCACCUUCUUCCUAACCGACUCUCAGCAUUUUCCCCCAUUUUCACCCGUCUUGAAACACGGACCAAGGAGUCUAAGGGUAGAGCGAGGGGUAGAGUUAUUCUAAAACUCAUUUCUACACCCGCAGUUAACGCGAAGUCUUAAAGAGUGUUAAACUCCAAAGGAGGAUUGGGUACGUCCUUUCCUCCACUUCAAGUUCUUCUCUUAGGACCCGAAAGAAAGUGAUCUAUUCCUGCACAGAACGAAGCCAGGAGAAAUCCUGGUGGAGGUUCGUAGCGAUACUGACGUGCAAAUCGUUCGUCAGAUGUGGGUAUAGCGGCGAAAGACCAAUCGAACUUUCUAGUAGCUGGUUCCCUC
rnacentral:misc_RNA from 1 species